GACGAACGCUGGCGGCGUGCUUAACACAUGCAAGUCGAACGGAAAGGCCCUGCUUUUGUGGGGUGCUCGAGUGGCGAACGGGUGAGUAACACGUGAGUAACCUGCCCUUGACUUUGGGAUAACUUCAGGAAACUGGGGCUAAUACCGGAUAGGAGCUCCUGCUGCAUGGCGGGGGUUGGAAAGUUUCGGCGGUUGGGGAUGGACUCGCGGCUUAUCAGCUUGUUGGUGGGGUAGUGGCUUACCAAGGCUUUGACGGGUAGCCGGCCUGAGAGGGUGACCGGCCACAUUGGGACUGAGAUACGGCCCAGACUCCUACGGGAGGCAGCAGUGGGGAAUAUUGCACAAUGGGCGGAAGCCUGAUGCAGCAACGCCGCGUGCGGGAUGACGGCCUUCGGGUUGUAAACCGCUUUCGCCUGUGACGAAGCGUGAGUGACGGUAAUGGGUAAAGAAGCACCGGCUAACUACGUGCCAGCAGCCGCGGUGAUACGUAGGGUGCGAGCGUUGUCCGGAUUUAUUGGGCGUAAAGGGCUCGUAGGUGGUUGAUCGCGUCGGAAGUGUAAUCUUGGGGCUUAACCCUGAGCGUGCUUUCGAUACGGGUUGACUUGAGGAAGGUAGGGGAGGAUGGAAUUCCUGGUGGAGCGGUGGAAUGCGCAGAUAUCAGGAGGAACACCAGUGGCGAAGGCGGUUCUCUGGGCCUUUCCUGACGCUGAGGAGCGAAAGCGUGGGGAGCGAACAGGCUUAGAUACCCUGGUAGUCCACGCUGUAAACGGUGGGUACUAGGUGUGGGGUCCAUUCCACGGGUUCCGUGCCGUAGCUAACGCUUUAAGUACCCCGCCUGGGGAGUACGGCCGCAAGGCUAAAACUCAAAGGAAUUGACGGGGCCCCGCACAAGCGGCGGAGCAUGCGGAUUAAUUCGAUGCAACGCGUAGAACCUUACCUGGGUUUGACAUGGAUCGGGAGUGCUCAGAGAUGGGUGUGCCUCUUUUGGGGUCGGUUCACAGGUGGUGCAUGGCUGUCGUCAGCUCGUGUCGUGAGAUGUUGGGUUAAGUCCCGCAACGAGCGCAACCCUUGUUCACUGUUGCCAGCACGUUAUGGUGGGGACUCAGUGGAGACCGCCGGGGUCAACUCGGAGGAAGGUGGGGAUGACGUCAAGUCAUCAUGCCCCUUAUGUCCAGGGCUUCACGCAUGCUACAAUGGCUGGUACAGAGAGUGGCGAGCCUGUGAGGGUGAGCGAAUCUCGGAAAGUCGGUCUCAGUUCGGAUUGGGGUCUGCAACUCGACCUCAUGAAGUCGGAGUCGCAAGUAAUCGCAGAUCAGCAACGCUGCGGUGAAUACGUUCCCGGG
rnacentral:rRNA from 1 species